GCUUGUAAGUACAUUGGCAUCCUGAAUUACUCAAGGGAUCAAUUAAUCAACGGGAGCAUGAGAGCCAGGAGCCUAUCUUCUAGCUUCUACUCUGCCUCUCACCUGCCAGAGACCUUGGGCCACCACCUGCCUGACUUGAGUUUGACUCAUCCUCUCCAGGAUCCCUUCCAGCUUCUGUGCUACACACACAGGCAAUGAGGUGAAGCUUUAUCACCUACAGCGGGUACCAGAAUUCCUCUAAGGCGCAGAAGGUCUCUAUCUGGGGAGAUACCUUAAAGAGCAGACGGUGAGGUCUGAAAGGCAUGGGUAUGUGCCAGAUCCAAGGCCAUGGGGGCACAGGUCGGCCUGUUCUGCAGGAAAUGAGGUGCAUCUCUGUUCCCCCAUUCACAUCAGUGCUUCAGACCACGGGAAGGAAAACUGGAAACCUCACAAAGAACCUAGGACAUCAUACUGAGGCACUCAAAAACUAAGCUAGAAAGACAACAGGAAGUUUUUUUAAAUGCUUUGAGACCUUGAACCUCUCCUACAUGCCCGGGCAGCCCCGCCCUGUCUCCUGCUGAGAGCUGGAGCCGGCAUCUUUGCUACCAGGAAAGGAUGGAUGGUGUGCCAAGUCAGGCUCACUCUCACGGCCUUCGCCCAGCUUCCCCAGUCGCCUGCCUCAAAUCAAUGUGCAAGAAGCUCUGAAAUAGGAGCAAUUUGCUGAACUUCAUUUUUGUUCACAUGUAAUAGGAGACGGAUGCCCCCACUAACUUGUGGUGCCAAUCAGCCAGUGGGAAGCAGCCCAUGUUUUAGGAAGGCAAAUCAUUAAGAACUGGAAUAAAGGGUAGGCAUACAUACCAGCUGGAUCCAAUUUUAAGUGAAAAUUAAUGGCAAAUUCUUGUAAACCACAUUAAGGGCCAUUGUCGUUCAUUUGAAAUCAGUUAAACAUGGAAACAAUAUGAAAAGCAUCUUGAGUUCAUGGAAUAUAAAUAUUUGUCUAUGUUUUUUUGCCAGUGCCCCAGAGAGACUAGAAGAGGUUGGCAGAUCGGUGCUCUGUAAACACGUUUACAAAGACAAAAAAAAAAAAAAGGAACCUGACUCUUGUUGGGUUAAACUAUUUGUCAACUUUUCCAUUUCCUCAGUCGGAAGAUAAUUAAACAGUAAGCAGAUGUCAGAAUCUAAUUGUUUCAAGGAAAGAUUGCUUAACGACUUACAUUGCUUGUAAUUUCUGUGUAUUGUCUGCAAGCAACACUUUGGUGGGUACAAGAAGCAGAAAGGCACCCAGUUAGUUGCUCUCUCCAUGGAGGCAGAGGGUCUGCCAGUAAAUAGAUCCACGUAGCCACUCUUAAUAUUAAGAAACAAGCAAGAAAGUCCCUGAAACAAUGCUUUGGGUAUACCGGACUGGAGAGAAGUUUGGCUUUUCAGAAAAAGGAGAGAGGGGGAGAUGGGGAAGAGAGAAUGGAGAUGAGGAGAAGGAAGAGCUGGAGAAGGAGGGAGAGGAAAAAUAGGAGAAGAUACGGAAAGAAGCAGUGUUUGUGGAGGGAGGGGACCAGAUGUGGUCCCAUCCAAAGGGCCUGGUCUUCAGAGUCAAGCCGGCUGUUUGGUUCCAUCACUUUCCACAUUUGGGAGCUUGGACCAUUUAUUUGACCUCCCUGGAUUCAUUUCCUCAUCAGACAAUUGGAUGCAAUAAUUCCUGCCCUGGCUCUAUCACAAGAAUGUUGUGUAAAAGAGUAAUAUAUAUGAAUGUCGCAAAAUUGUGAAACACUACAAUUACUUUUUCAUUAAAAAGUAG
ensembl:lncRNA